rnacentral:rRNA from 1 species
AUUGAACGCUGGCGGCAGGCCUAACACAUGCAAGUCGAGCGGAUGAAGGGAGCUUGCUCCUGGAUUCAGCGGCGGACGGGUGAGUAAUGCCUAGGAAUCUGCCUGGUAGUGGGGGAUAACGUCCGGAAACGGGCGCUAAUACCGCAUACGUCCUGAGGGAGAAAGUGGGGGAUCUUCGGACCUCACGCUAUCAGGUGAGCCUAGGUCGGAUUAGCUAGUUGGUGGGGUAAAGGCCUACCAAGGCGACGAUCCGUAACUGGUCUGAGAGGAUGAUCAGUCACACUGGAACUGAGACACGGUCCAGACUCCUACGGGAGGCAGCAGUGGGGAAUAUUGGUCAAUGGGCGAAAGCCUGAUCCAGCCAUGCCGCGUGUGUGAAGAAGGUCUUCGGAUUGUAAAGCACUUUAAGUUGGGAGGAAGGGCAGUAAGUUAAUACCUUGCUGUUUUGACGUUACCAACAGAAUAAGCACCGGCUAACUUCGUG